AAACCUCUGACCUGUUGACUCCAGGCCUGGCUCCGCCCAUCAUGACUUUGACGCAGCCGGAACGCAACGGAGCGGAUGUGAUGAGAUGCUAUCUUUCAAACCUAACUUGGUGUUAGACCUGUGAAAAUCUGACUAGCCCUUCAUCUCCCACCUGUUUUGGAUUUUUAUUCUGGGUAAUAAUAAUAUGUUUCCACUAUUUUAGCACUAACCAUUUUUGUGCUUUGAAAGUGUAGCAAGCUAACUGGCUAAUGAUUGACAGCUAUCCACCACGUAAGGUUUAUGCUACAUCGCUAGGCUUUAUGUGUAGCCAAAUAAAGAACUGUGAUGUGUUUGA